CUUUUCCCAGUUCCAGUAUCAUAGGAUGAUGAAAUCUAAGCAAACCUUUAAAAGUGGGGCGGGGAGAGAGAGAGAGGAGUGGGAAGGUUUUAUUAUUUGUUUUGGCUGGAAGGAAAUUACUUGAAGUGGAAGAACAGGACAGAGACAGUAGGAGCCUGUUCAAGAAUGGGGUUGGUACUAAACUGGGGGCUUUUGGAUCCUUUAGUUGAGGCUGGCUCUCUGCAAACUUCUUAGCAUCAAGCUGCACCAUCUUCUCACACAGCUUCACCUCUCCCAAGAUGGUCCUGAACUGGGGCUGGUUAACGCAGAUUCAAACCAGGUUGCUGGGGGAUAAUGAAGGAAGACCAGCCCUUCUACCUGCAACGGGGAGGCAAACUGCUUAUACACCUGCAGAAAAUUAUUUGAGAACAAAGAGGAAUUCAACAUCUUUCCUUCCAGAUGAGUUAAUAUGAUGCAGCUGUGAGGUGUGUGUAUUUUCUGUACCCUGAUUAUAGAAAACGACUAACAUUGUAGGUUUUCUAGCCUCCUACACAUUGAGCAAAUACAAAGGUGCUAGAUAGAACUAUGAGAAAAACGCAAAGGCAUCCAGUUUCUCCAAUGUGAAACCCAGGUUUGGGCUAUCCCCC
rnacentral:lncRNA from 1 species